rnacentral:misc_RNA from 1 species
CGCCCUGGAACAGGUGUUUAGCCACUUUGUUACGACUUCAACCUGUCAUGAACUACCGUGGUACGCCCUCCCACGGCCCAGGCUAAUCCACUCUGGUAAAAGUCCAAUUUCCAUGGUGUGUGAUAGCGGUGUGUCAAGACCCCGGGGAACGUCGCGACAUGUUGAUCCGCGAUUACUAGAUUCCGGACUUCACGCAGUCGGCCAGACUGCGAUCUGGACUAUGACAGCCUGGGAUUACUCGCGGGCUGGCGACCUCUGUCCCGACCAUUGUAUGACGUGUGAAGCCCUACCCAUAAGGCCAUGAGGAUUUGACGUCAACUCAAUUCUCCUCCUCCCGGUUUGUCAAAUGGCAGUCCAUAUGCCCUUUCGUAGCAACUAAUGACAAGGGUUGCAGGCUGCGGGACUAACCUGACCAUCUCACGACACGAGCGACGAUAGUUACGUAGCACCUGUGUCUGUUCUUCACUCAGUCUUCUUUCUGACUCCGGCACAUGUCAGCGCGUGUUUUUCGCAAGCUGCAUCGAAUUAAUUCAAUAUCAUCCAAUGCUUGUGUAACUCGUCAAUUUCCCUUUGAGUUUUGAGCGAUCGUACUUGCGCAACAACUCACGCGCUUUCGCGCCGCGCCACAGCAGUUCAGGGGCUGCCUCAACAGCUAAAGGACAUCGUUUAGGCGUAAAUUACCAGGGUAUUUGCCUAAUCUUGUUCUCGCUUUCGGCUGACGCGUUAUCCCAGAGCUGCUCUCGCCACGGUGGGCCCUCCGCAUGAUUUUGCCAUUAGAAUCUCCCACUUUCCGACACACCCCUUAGCUCGGCAGUUGUGUACGCAGUUCCAAAGCUGGCUCUGAUUUCACAAUCUUCUUCGACACGUUUUUCAUCUGCACCCUGACAACGGCGCCGCCGGCACGGGAGCACGGCGCCAUUCUGCAGGCGGUCGUUGGACGUAUUGCCCCGGGUGCCUCUGCCAAAAGUGCUUACGUCCCAGCGAACACGCGGGACGGUUGAUCAGGUUCUUCAUUGUCUGUAAAUUCUCCUCACUGGCUGUCUUUCCCCGGACUCCGGGCCGCUCGUCUGCAGGCUGAGCAAGUCCUUUCAAACCAGCUACUACGGACGUCGCCUACACCCCAGCUUUCGAAGGGUACGCAUGCGGUAGCAUUACGCUUUCGCGUAGUUAACUCGCUAGCACGUUCCGAUACAUUCAUUACUUCCGUUUGCCACGCUGGCGCCACCAGCUGCUGUUUUGACUUGCAUGUGGGGUACGCAUGGCGCUGUUGAAGAUGAUCGAACUCUCUGCUCUCGCCUGAUGCUCCCAGGUAACAGAGAGUUCGAUCAUGGCUCAGAUUGAACGCUGGCGGGAUGCUUUACACAUGCAAGUCGAACGGCAGCACGGACUUCGGUCUGGUGGCGAGUGGCGAACGGGUGAGUAAUGUAUCGGAACGUGCCUAGUAGCGGGGGAUAACUACGCGAAAGCGCAGGCCUAAAUACCGCACACGUUCUUCGGGGGAAAGCGGGGGACCUUCGGGCCUCGCACUAUUAGAGCGGGCCGAUACUGAUUACUAGUUAAGCAGGGGUAACGGCUCACCAAGGCGACGAUCCGUAGCUGGUUUGAGAGGACGACCAGCCACACUGGGACUGAGACACGGCCCAGACUCCUACGGGAGGCAGCAGUGGGGAAUUUUGACAAUGGGGGAAACGCUUGAUCCAGCCAUCCCGCGUGUGCGAUGAAGGCCUUCGGGUUGUAAAGCACUUUUGGUGCAGGGAAAGAAACGGCACGGGAUAAUACCCCGUGCAACUGACGGUACCUGCAGAAUAAGCACCGGCUAACUACGUGCCAGCAGCCGCGGUAAUACGUAGGGUGCAAGCGUUAAUCGGAAUUACUGGGCGUAAAGCGUGCGCAGGCGGUUCGGAAAGAAAGAUGUGAAAUCCCAGAGCUUAACUUUGGAACUGCAUUUUUAACUACCGAGCUAGAGUGUGUCAGAGGGAGGUGGAAUUCCGCGUGUAGCAGUGAAAUGCGUAGAUAUGCGGAGGAACACCGAUGGCGAAGGCAGCCUCCUGGGAUAACACUGACGCUCAUGCACGAAAGCGUGGGGAGCAAACAGGAUUAGAUACCCUGGUAGUCCACGCCCUAAACGAUGUCAACUAGCUGUUGGGGCCUUCGGGCUCCUGGUAGCGCAGCUAACGCGUGAAGUUGACCGCCUGGGGAGUACGGUCGCAAGAUUAAAAACUCAAAGGAAUUGACGGACCCGCACAAGCGGUGGAUGAUGUGGAUUAAUUCGAUGCAACGCGAAAACCUUACCUACCCUUGACAUGUCUGAAUCCUGAAGAGAUUUGGGAGUGCUCGCAAGAGAACCGGAACACAGGUGCUGCAUGGCUGUCGUCAGCUCGUGUCGUGAGAUGUUGGGUUAAGUCCCGCAACGAGCGCAACCCUUGUCAUUAGUUGCUACGAAAGGGCACUCUAAUGAGACUGCCGGCGACAAACCGGAGGAAGGUGGGGAUGACGUCAAGUCCUCAUGGCCCUUAUGGGUAGGGGCUUCACACGUCAUACAAUGGUCGGGACAGAGGGUCGCCAACCCGCGAGGGGGAGCCAAUCCCAGAAACCCGAUCGUAGUCCGGAUCGCAGUCUGCAACUCGACUGCGUGAAGUCGGAAUCGCUAGUAAUCGCGGAUCAGCAUGUCGCGGUGAAUACGUUCCCGGGUCUUGUACACACCGCCCGUCACACCAUGGGAGUGGGUUUUACCAGAAGUAGUUAGCCUAACCGUAAGGAGGGCGAUUACCACGGUAGGAUUCAUGACUGGGGUGAAGUCGUAACAAGGUAA